rnacentral:rRNA from 1 species
GGAGGUAGUGACAAGAAAUACCGAUGCGGGACCCUACGGGUGCCGCGUUCGGAAUGAGUACGAUUCGAACCACCUAACGAGGAACGAUCGGAGGGCAAGUCUGGUGCCAGCAGCCGCGGUAAUUCCAGCUCCAAUAGCGUACGUUAAAGUUGCUGCAGUUAAAAAGCUCGUAGUUGAACGUUCGGGGUUCCGCGGGACGGGGCCGCCCCGCGAGGGACGGCGCCGCCCCGGGGCUCGUGAUAUCUCAUCUCGCCGCCCGUCGCGAGGCGGACGGAGGGAUGGAUGAGGUUACCUGGAAAAAAUCGGGGCGAUCUAGGCGGGCGAACCUCGCCAACGAACGAUCGGACAUGGGAUAACGGAAGAGGGCGUCGGCUCGACUUCGUCGGUUCCUCGGGCCGAGGCACGUACGGUGAAUAGGGGACGGUCGGGGGCCGCCCGUACCGGGUCGUGAGAGGUGAAAUUCUAGGAUCGACCCGAGACGAACCGCCGCGAAAGCAUUCGGCAAGGACGCUUUCAUUAAUCAAGAACGAAGUCGGGGGAUCGAAGACGAUCAGAUACCGUCGUAGUCCCGA